rnacentral:rRNA from 1 species
ACGUAGUUGACGUCCGUCGGACUGAGGACACGCUGGCGGCGCGCCUAACACAUGCAAGUCGAACGAGCGAGAGAGAGCUUGCUUUCUCGAGCGAGUGGCGAACGGGUGAGUAACGCGUGAGGAACCUGCCUCAAAGAGGGGGACAACAGUUGGAAACGACUGGUAAAACCGCAUAAGCGCACGGUGUCGCAUGACACAGUGUGAAAACACUCCGGUGGUAUGAGAUGGACCCGCGUCUGAUUAGCUAGUUGGUGAGGUAACGGCCCACCAAGGCGACGAUCAGUAGCCGGCCUGAGAGGGUGAACGGCCACAUUGGGACUGAGACACGGCCCAAACUCCUACGGGAGGCAGCAGUGGGGAAUAUUGCACAAUGGGGGAAACCCUGAUGCAGCGACGCCGCGUGAGUGAUGAAGUAUUUCGGUAUGUAAAGCUCUAUCAGCAGGGAAGAUAAUGACGGUACCUGACUAAGAAGCACCGGCUAAAUACGUG